rnacentral:misc_RNA from 1 species
GAUGAAGAACGUAGCGAAAUGCGAUAAGUAAUGUGAAUUGCAGAAUUCAGUGAAUCAUCGAAUCUUUGAACGCACAUUGCGCCCCUUGGUAUUCCGAGGGGCAUGCCUGUUCGAGCGUCAUUAUAACCCCUCAAGCUCAGCUUGGUGUUGGGGCCUGCCGCACGGGCAGCCCUUAAAAUCAGUGGCGGUGCCAUCUGGCUCUAAGCGUAGUAAUUCUUCUCGCUAUAGAGUUCCGGUGGAUGCUUGCCAUUAACCCCCAAUUUUCUAUGGUUGACCUCGGAUCGGGUAGGGAUACCCGCUGAACUUAAGCAUAUCAAUAAGCGGAGGA